rnacentral:lncRNA from 1 species
GUAAGUAGUUCCUUUCCACAGGCACGUCUUCCGAUGUCCGUGCAGCCCUCCGCAGAGAGCAGACCCAGAGUGUGUAACUCCUACCCACAGGCAGGUUGUCCGCACAUCUGUUGGAGUCUGGCUGAGUCAGGGUUUUUAAGGGUUCAGAGGGGAGGAAGUAUGUGCUGAUUGGUCUAUGGGCAGCCAUGGGUGGGCCUGGAAAAAACACCUUAAGUUCUCACUCUGGUCUGUGGAUUCCACCCUGAACUGACAGCCCAGCCCCCAUGCUUUGGGCAGUUCCUCGCUUGAAGGUAGGGCUUCACUGAGGACCCACCCCUUUCUGCCCAGAAGCCUGUCUGCCGCUUGCCACCAUCAAUCAUAUUCAUGGCGCCCAGGCUGUUUGUGCUGAGGAGCGCCUGAAGGCCUGCAGCGAGCUGGCUCAGUGCCCCCAUGCUCGUUGGCACCCAAAGUCCAGAGGGGGCCACGGUGGCAGGGGGCUGACAUGUCAGUGCCACCCCAAGCGCUCACACACCCAGCUGGGUUGCAACAGCACUUGGGCUUGGCCUCAACUUUGCUCUGCACCUGGAACAGGCACCGGGAGCAGGGAGAGGCCAGGCAGUGGGAGCAGGCACUUUGAAGCCUGCAGCGGCAGGGGAGCUUUCUGUGGCUCCCAAGAGCGCAGGAAAUGCCUGGGUCUGGAGCUACAGCUGUGCAUAGUAGGGAGGGGCUUCCAGCCUACCAACUCGGAAUGGGUUGGGGCUCCUUCCUGUUCCUGGCUCCUGCCCACUCUACGGAGCACGCAGCUCUGGCCUUGCCUUCCCUGCUGCAGCCAGCGUCUUCAGAGCAGCUUCUCAAGAUGGGCAGCCACUGCCAUCAGAAGUCCAAAACAAGAAUUCCUGACUGGCAAGUCAUUAGAGCUCCACAAAUCAAUGCCAUCUUGCCUGUCUUUGUGCUGAAGAGUAAAGAGGAAAGAACCUCUUAUCAUUCUAUCCUUGGAAAAUUAAUG